ensembl:ncRNA H40L08.6 ncRNA
CCAUUGAUUCCAAGGUAGUACCUUUGAUUACCACCUGGAGUUUCCUAUUUGUCUAUCUGACACCACUUGUUGCCUCACGUUCCGCGUUCUCCACCUGUU